CGGGUGAGUAAUGCCUAGGAAUCUGCCUGGUAGUGGGGGACAACGUUUCGAAAGGAACGCUAAUACCGCAUACGUCCUACGGGAGAAAGCAGGGGACCUUCGGGCCUUGCGCUAUCAGAUGAGCCUAGGUCGGAUUAGCUAGUUGGUGAGGUAAUGGCUCACCAAGGCGACGAUCCGUAGCUGGUCUGAGAGGAUGAUCAGUCACACUGGAACUGAGACACGGUCCAGACUCCUACGGGAGGCAGCAGCG
rnacentral:rRNA from 1 species